rnacentral:rRNA from 1 species
AGAGCGAACGCUGGCGGCAGGCCUAACACAUGCAAGUCGAGCGCCUCGCAAGGGGAGCGGCAGACGGGAGAGUAACACGUGGGAACGUACCCUUUGGUUCGGAACAACACAGGGAAACUUGUGCUAAUACCGGAUAAGCCCUUACGGGGAAAGAUUUAUUGCCAAAGGAUCGGCCCGCGUCUGAUUAGCUUGUUGGUGAGGUAACGGCUCACCAAGGCUACGAUCAGUAGCUGGUCUGAGAGGAUGAUCAGCCUCACUGGGACUGAGACACGGCCCAGACUCCUACGGGAGGCAGCAGUGGGGAAUAUGGACAAUGGGCGCAAGCCUGAUCCAGCCAUGCCGCGUGGAUGAUGAAGGCCCUAGGGUUGUAAAGUCCUUUCGACGGGGAAGAUAAUGACGGUACCGUAGAAGAGCCCGGCUAACUUCGUGCCAGCAGCCGC